GCCGAAGUGGCGGAACUGGUAGACGCGCACGACUCAAACUCGUGUUCCUUUGGAGUGCCGGUUCGAUCCCGGCCUUCGGUA
rnacentral:tRNA from 1 species